UACGAAGGGGGCUAGCGUUGUUCGGAAUCACUGGGCGUAAAGCGCACGUAGGCGGAUUCGUAAGUCAGGGGUGAAAUCCCGGGGCUCAACCUCGGAACUGCCUUUGAUACUGCGGGUCUUGAGUCCGAUAGAGGUGGGUGGAAUUCCUAGUGUAGAGGUGAAAUUCGUAGAUAUUAGGAAGAACACCGGUGGCGAAGGCGGCCCACUGGAUCGGUACUGACGCUGAGGUGCGAAAGCGUGGGGAGCAAACAGG
rnacentral:rRNA from 1 species